UACUGGAAAAAAUGCAAUAGGAU
rnacentral:snRNA from 1 species